AACGCUAGCUACAGGCUUAACACAUGCAAGUCGAGGGGCAGCAUGGUCUUAGCUUGCUAAGGCCGAUGGCGACCGGCGCACGGGUGAGUAACACGUAUCCAACCUGCCGUCUACUCUUGGACAGCCUUCUGAAAGGAAGAUUAAUACAAGAUGGCAUCAUGAGUCCGCAUGUUCACAUGAUUAAAGGUAUUCCGGUAGACGAUGGGGAUGCGUUCCAUUAGAUAGUAGGCGGGGUAACGGCCCACCUAGUCUUCGAUGGAUAGGGGUUCUGAGAGGAAGGUCCCCCACAUUGGAACUGAGACACGGUCCAAACUCCUACGGGAGGCAGCAGUGAGGAAUAUUGGUCAAUGGACGAGAGUCUGAACCAGCCAAGUANCGUGAAGGAUGACUGCCCUAUGGGUUGAAACUUCUUUUAUACGGGAAUAAAGUGAGGCACGUGUGCCUUUUUGUAUGUACCGUAUGAAUAAGGAUCGGCUAACUCCGUGCCAGCAGCCGCGGUAAUACGGAGGAUCCGAGCGUUAUCCGGAUUUAUUGGGUUUAAAGGGAGCGUAGGCGGACGCUUAAGUCAGUUGUGAAAGUUUGCGGCUCAACCGUAAAAUUGCAGUUGAUACUGGGUGUCUUGAGUACAGUAGAGGCAGGCGGAAUUCGUGGUGUAGCGGUGAAAUGCUUAGAUAUCACGAAGAACUCCGAUUG
rnacentral:rRNA from 1 species